UACGUAGGGUGCAGGCGUUAAUCGGAAUUACUGGGCGUAAGGGCGCGUAGGCGGCACCGCAAGUCAGUUGUGAAAUCUCUGGGCUUAACCCAGAAAGGUCAACUGAUACUGCGGGGCUAGGAAGCGAAGGGAGGCAACUGGGAAUUCUCGGUGUAGCGGUGAAAUGCGUAGAUAUCGAGAGGAACACCUGCGGCGAAGGCGGGUUGCUGGGCUGACACUGACGCUGAUGCGCGAAAGCUAGGGGAGCGAACGGGG
rnacentral:rRNA from 1 species